rnacentral:rRNA from 1 species
CAAGGAUUCCCCUAGUAACUGCGAGUGAAGAGGGAAAAGCUCAAAUUUUGAAUNNNNNNGUCCAUCCGAUCAAGGCCGUCCGAAUUGUAAUCUAGAGAAGCGUCUUCCGCGCUGGACCCGUGUACAAGUCUUCUGGAAGGGAGCAUCAUAGAGGGUGAGAAUCCCGUCUAUCGACACGGUGACUACCAGGGCUUAUGUGUUGCGCUCUCGACGAGUCGAGUUGUUUGGGAAUGCAGCUCAAAUAGGGUGGUAAAUUCCAUCUAAAGCUAAAUACAGGCAAGAGACCGAUAGCGAACAAGUACCGUGAGGGAAAGACGAAAAGAACUUUGAAAAGAGAGUUAAACAGUACGUGAAAUUGCUGAAAGGGAAACGCUUGAUGUCACUCGCGUUCAUUAGGAGUCAGCCUAGCUUUCAUUUGAUUGCGUGGCGCACUUCCUAGUGAAUGGGUCAGCAUCAGUUUGGAUUGAUGUAGAAAGGCGAUGGGGAAAGUAGCAUUUCUUCACGGAAAUGUAUUAUAGACCCUUGAUUCCGAUUAUGCAUCGAUCUGGACUGAGGAUAGCUCUGCAGGUAGUCACUUGCAAGAGAUGCUGGCAUAAUGGCCUUAAGCGACCCGUCUUGAAACACGGACCAAGGAGUCUAACAUGCCUGCGAGUGUUCGGGUUUGCAAACCCUGAGCGCGCAAUGAAAGUGAAAGUCGAGAACUAUUUAUUUAGUGCACCGACGCCCGGACACAGAGUCCUUAAUCGGACAAAGUAUCUGCGGUAGAGCACGCAUGUUAGGACCCGAAAGAUGGUGAACUAUGCCUGAAUAGGGUGAAGCCAGAGGAAACUCUGGUGGAA